rnacentral:lncRNA from 1 species
GGUUCGGGAGAUACCAGCUGAUGAUCCAAGACUGAAACUAGUUUCUCAAACCUACCUUAAUUUGAGAAAGAGGUUUGGUGGGUGAGGAUCCGGUACGGAGCUGGACGAUCGUAGACAGAAGACUGAAGCCAUGCAGUAGCUACGUUUCCCUGAACCAUUGGGUUCUUUUGUACCCUAGAAUGUCUGCCUUUUUCCUUCUAUUCCAUAAAAUUUGGCCUAUUUGCUCAUGUACCCAGGUCGAGCAGAUACACAGAUUAAUUGACAUUGUUAAGGAGGUAAUGAGAUUUACUCUCAAUCUGCGACUGCUAGUCACAUUUUUUCUCGACUACAUAAUGCCGC